CCUCCGCUGCGCUCCCGACGUCCCGUCGGAGCCGGUGCCCGAGACCGCCCCGUCGCGUCAACGUGCUCCCGGAGCUCGAUGCCCGGCCCCUUUCCCGCCGAGAUAAGAGCCGUGCCCCUUUCCUCUCCUCUUCCUCCUCUUCCCCCGUUUCUUCUCCCUCCUGCUUCUCUUUUUGUGUUCUUCUUCCCUGCCACCCAGUCCGGUGGCAGCUCGACCUCCUCUGGCUCCGCGCGGGUGAGCUCCGCCGCCUCCACGACCGCGCGAGCACGAGCUUCGCUGUCCUCGUCACGCAAGGGAUAUCCAUGGCGGGCCCCCUACGCUUCCUCCCCAGCUUCAACGCCACCGCGUCCGCGUUGAUCGGCCAAGGUUCAGCUCGACCUCCUCGGUCUCCACCUACUCUCCGCGGCUGCCGCCCGCUCCGCGGGAUCCAGAUCCGGCCUCCCCCUCCACCUCCUCGUCCCCGCUCACCCCGUCCUCACUCUGCUCCGCCAUCCACCCCCGCGCGCCCGCUCCGUCGGUGCAUCUCCUUGGCCAGACCACACAGCAUCGGCAGUGCCAUCCCCUCCUCCACGGCAGUCCCGCCGGGCACGGCACAGCUCGCCAAGUCUGCCUCCAUCAUCAGGCGGGCUCCCGCUGAACAAGUCUGACCUCAACCACCGUCGAUCUGGCUUAGCCUCCAGAAGCCCGUGGUGCGCGCGCCGCAAGCUCCAGCAAGCAGAUCUGGUGCGGUGGUGACGACUGCCGUGAGGAGGUCUACACCAUGUUCGUCUGCUUGGACUGCAGUAAAGCAUGCACUUUGUUAAUUAAAUCAUCUUAAUUUCUGGUUUGAUUUUCCCAUCUGGAUGGUAAACUUUGAUUUUCAGCUAAGUGUUUGUUCUUUUUCCAGUGCCAAGUAAUGGAACAGAUUAAUUGAUAUGCUUCUUCUUUCUCUUGAAGAAUCUGAUUAAAGUAAUAAAAUUGAACAUGCCCCUCCUUUCUCUGAUGAGCCUUUCCUUUACUUUCUCCAUGCUUAUGUGAAGCUUUCAAUUUUCUGUUAAAACUGUGCCGCAGGUUGCAAGACUUAAAUGCUAGAAGCCAGAAACAAGGGUUCCAUUGGUUACUCAAUUAAAUUUGAAGAUACUCCAUGUUUUCUAAAUUCCAAAAAAAAAAAUUAGUCUUCGACUGCCCAUCUGAGCAUUGUAUGGGAUUGUUCUUUCUUUCUUGUAUACCAAAAAAAACAAAAAAAAAACAAAGUGCAGCAAUCUGAACCUUUUCUGAUCAGAGAGCAUUACUCUGAUAAAAUAAAAUACAUGUAAGCUUCUACCCUCAUAUAUACACUGCUUAGAUGAAUAUUAUUUCUAUCAAUGCUAAUCGCUAUCCUGCAUUUGUGAUUCACAUUGCUCAUGUUUUUAUGUUAAUGAAGGUCUUGCCUGCAUCUGUUUCAGUGAAAUAGGCAACAUCAAAUUUAGUUUUGUGUGAUUUCAAAUUCACCUGCGGUGAGAUUAACUUCUUGCCACAGCAAACAGUAAUUAUUUGGAGCUAACUCAUGGGAUAUGACAAGUAAUCCUUUCUGUUGUUUGUUCUAAUUGUUUGCCUAAUUGUAAUUACUAAUUCGUUACAAUUUGAGAUUGUUAGUAAUUGUUUUGGUCUCCUGUUGGCAUUAAUUUGUAUCCACUUGAGGCUGAGUACAGUAAAAGAAUACUUGUGGCUAGUGAUGCAUAAUAAGGGCCAUGCUCGUGCCUCCUUUAGUUUCAGUUAUAGAAGUUUCAGUUAUAAAGAACCUAACCUAUCUUGUUGCCUGUAUAUGGAAUCAGGAUAGCAAUUUUAUAUGUGUUGAUCACUCAAUGUUAAUAUAUUCUAACAUGAUUUGAUUUGAGUAUAUUGUACUAUUUUCAACAUGCUUGUUGGUUUAUCAUAAGUAUUUUCUUAUUACGAUUGAAGCAAACUAACCUUCCGGAUAUGUAUAACUAAAUGGCAUUUGAAUUACUCUUAUGUUACUCUAUCCUUUGUAGCAAAUAUUGAUGCAUCAUACUCAUUGGCAAUCAUGCAUGUUCUGAAGCCAGCAAACUCGUGAAGGAUUGUGUGUGGCCGCACAAGUUGAGUUGAUCUCAUCCUAUCUAUGUAUGCUGGAUUUACUCAGCUCACAAUAGUUGAUAUGCUAAUUAUCAAAUGUAUAUACCCAACCUGAACAAUAUUGAAUUAAAUAUACAGUGUUUAAUCAAAUAUAGAACCUAUCAUGUUCCAGUA